UACGUAGGGUGCGAGCGUUGUCCGGAAUUACUGGGCGUAAAGAGCUCGUAGGCGGUUUGUCGCGUCUGCUGUGAAAACUCGGGGCUUAACUCCGGGCCUGCAGUGGGUACGGGGCAGACUAGAGUGCGGUAGGGGAGACUGGAAUUCCUGGUGUAGCGGUGAAAUGCGCAGAUAUCAGGAGGAACACCGGUGGCGAAGGCGGGUCUCUGGGCCGUAACUGACGCUGAGGAGCGAAAGCUGGGGGAGCGAACAGG
rnacentral:rRNA from 1 species